GCGCAGCAGGCGAGAAUACUUCACACUGUGCGAAAGCACGAUGAGGGAAUCCCAAGUGCUUGCACGUAAGUGUAAGCUGUUUCUCUGUUUAAAACGCAGAGAGAGUAAGGGCUGGGUAAGACGGGUGCCAGCCGCCGCGGUAAUACCUGCAGCUCAAGUGGUGACCGUUAUUAUUGGGCCUAAAACGUCCGUAGCCGGUUUAAUAAAGUGCCUGGGUAAAUCGUGUAGCUUAACUAUACGAAUUCCGGGUAGACUGUUAAACUCGAGACCGGGAGAAGUUAGAGGUACUCCUGGGGUAGAGGUG
rnacentral:rRNA from 1 species